AGCUCACCGGUUUUUUGGUAACAAAAAACGCAUGGCAAACCCCACUGGGAGCAAGGUUAAAUAGAGAAGACACUGCAUUAAUAAUGAUGCUAAAAACAGUCUUUAGUUAGUCUUCUGGGUUAACUGCUCGAGCUUAAGUGUGAAUUUGAGCCUAGAGAAAUGACUUCUUUAAUGACAGAACCCGGCUUAUAGACUAUCUGGCAAA
rnacentral:RNase_P_RNA from 2 species